AAAAGUAUCUGCAUUUCCUUGAAAAAGGCUUUUUGAGAGAAGAAAGAUGGGGGGGGGGAAAAAGGCUGAAAUGGCUUGUUUCUAUAAAAGAGACUUCUGCACUGUGACUAGCAGCGCAAGGCAAAGAACAAAUGUGUUUGUCCCUUGCUCUAGUAAACCACUGAACAAGCUGAGAUCAGAAGUUAAUCAGUGAUGGCACUUGAUGUAUCAGCACUUCAUGUGAAAUGAUGACUUGAAGGAAAGGCCAAAUCGGCACGUGACAGGAAGGUUAUCUGUGAUGUGACAGAAGAGAAAUGCUCCUUGCAGAAGCAUUUUGGAUGGCUGUCAGUAAAGAAAUCAGUACUCAUAAGAUCUGUUGAAGAAAAGUGUUGAGGAUGUAAGAUUAAAGCUGGACAAAACAUAUGGAAGAAAUACGGCCCAGUGAUCACAGAGAUGGGGAAGUCCAAGUCCAACUGGUGUCAAAGUAAGGGACCUCAUCAAAGAGUAUCCAAGAGUGAUUCUCCCGAGCCCUACUAGCCCCUGGUCCUCUCUCUGAGAAAGGUUUUUACAAGAUAACUACCAGAAGCAGUGAAGUGAAAGCCACAGAACUGGCAGACAUCAUCAGUGUCUAAUAGCUAAUGUCCUUCCUCCUUUUCUCCUGUUACAUAUUCUCUGUGAAAUGGUGUCAGUGCACAAGAAGACAAUCAAGCCUGCUUUUUAUUUUCCCAACCCAUCCUUACUGUGUACCUUGUCUCACCUCCCAGCAAACUGACAGCAACCUGUACCCAACAUGAAAAAAAAAUAACAAGCAGAUGGUACUCAAACAGCAAAAUCAACAUUCUUAUUCUUCAGUUAAUGACUAAUGUGAGCAAGACAAGAUCCAGCAACACUCCAACAGAACGGAAGAGAGUCCUUCAUUCCCAAAGUAUCAAUGGUAUGGUCAAUAGUUAAAUCCAAUAAAUGGUAUUUUUUCUCCUUCUUGAACCUGUAAGUUAAGAAAUGAGAGCUCUUUUUCUUACCUGAGCAGGCUUUUCCAUGUACAUGAAUUACUUAACUGACAUUGCCUUUCAAAAAGAGCUGCAAAUAUGUUAAGCCAGGAGGGUAAAGAAAAUGAACCUAUUCAUUAAUUAGCAUUGUCAUAUAGUCCAAAUAUGCACGGUAUGGAUUUGAAGAUGGAUCUCCACCUUUUGUGUGUAACUUGGCAGGUGUACAAGUGACAGUGUAUCAGCAUUUUGUGUAAACCCUUGUGAAAGUUCUGUCCUUUGUGAGAUAUGGAUUUAGGAGAACCAACAUGUAGAUGGACAGGUGGUUAACAGAAAAUAGCAGGCUGAAGAGAAGAUACACACAUGCUAAGAAAUAGCAUUUAAAUUCUUCUAAGGACUGAUGGUCCAGCUGAACCUGCAAAAACCGACAGAACUCCAAAUUGUACUGAACUUGUUCAAAGCAGCUGGUACAUAGUAGCAUCAACAAUGGGCUGUAUCACAUGGAUCAUAUCCAGGAAGGUGGAGGUUGCUGUAUUCUGACAAAGACCCUGGUGUAAUAGAUGCACACUAAAGGGUCUCCCAGCCACUCUCCCCGUUGGCCUCCUAUUGCUACUACUCCUACUCCAUCCACGUAACUGCAGGUAACCCUAUGAGAGCAUGUGUGUGUCUGAACUGUAAGUGGAUGUAUGGUGCGAAUUAAUUAUUAUAAAGCUGUGCCUAAUAAUGAAAGCUUGAUUCUAUUAAUAAUAUAAAUGUAUGUGAACUUAAGUAGUAAAAGAUGUUUUAAUAAAAGGUGUUAAAUAAUCUCUCUCCCCAGCUUGAUCGCCUACCAGAAAAAGUGGUAUUUAUUAUAAUGAAAUUUCCUUUCUACUUGGAAAAGACAAGAGAUAAACCAUUGAAUGCAGUGCGCUAGGUAGCUGUAGAGAGAACCCUCCCCCCCCUUCAUCUAAAUGUUGAGCAGUAGCUUUAUUUCCUGAAUAUACCCAUUCAUUAUCUUCUACCGGCAAUAAACACCUUACUAAAAAGAAAUUGUAAGAUCUUUAUGAGCCUUCAGUUCAUGUUAAGUUUAAAAGGGUCGUAUUCCUUUGUUUUGACAGUGGGAAGGAUUCUGGUUUACUUUUAGAUGUUUUUAAACGUUUACUGGAGCCAGAAGGCUGGAUCAUCAGUAGACAUAAUGUAUUAUCAUUAACUUCAUGAGGCAAUUUCUCAUGUACAAUUUUGCUAGUGCAGACAUUCUAGCUUUUAGUUUAAUUGAAUUUGUUGAUAAAUCUGUCAGGACAUGCUUUCUAUACAUGUUUUUUCUACAGGAAAAAAAUACAUUUUUACAGAAUAAAAUUCAGU